GCCAGGUGUGGUGGUGCACGCCUGUAAUCCCAGCUACUCAGGAGGCUGAGGCAGGAGAAUCGCUUGAACCCAGGAGGUGGAGCUUGCAGUGAGCCGAGAUCGCGCCACUGCACUCCAGUCUGGGUGACAGAGCGAGACUCCGUCUCAU
rnacentral:SRP_RNA from 1 species